GAUUAUCAGACAAGACAUUGGCAGUGAGUUCAUCUGCUCUACUCUGCUUUAGAACAACACAUGUGAUUAACCAAGAUAGGCAUUUUCCAAAAACAAACUAUGUCACUGAAGAAUGCAAGACUGUUUCUUUAGAGCCUUCCAUGCUUAACUUGAAAGCUGUCAACCCAGGAGGCUGAAACAGAGCUAGAUUAUGAAUCCUGAGUGAAUAGCUCAUUCUUUGCGCCCAUGCUUUUGCUGCAUGCUGCCAUGUGGUACAAGGCUGAGAGGUAUGCACUAUGAUAGCUAAUGAAGCAUUUCCUUUAUAUCGCACUGACCAGAACUCUUAUUUGAAGCCCGUAUAUUAUGCCACUGUAAUCUCACAAUGUUAGCUUUUGUUCUGGCUAGCAGAGGCAGUUGCUUGUCCUUUCUGUAGCUAAAUUUCAUGCACCAAAGUUGUUAGACCCUUUACUAAUAUGUGUAGGUCUAAGUCAUAAAACCAGCUUCUGCUAUGUUUGCAAGAAUGUUUUGUUUUGUUUUGUCUGCCUUUUCAAUGACAGCAUCCCCUAAAGCCAAUCAUUUGUAAUUUUGAGGCCAUUGAGAGAUAAAAGGCUUGAAGUAAAAGCCAUUGGCCCUCCUGAACUCACUCAUCUAUGUCAAAUAUAGUGAUACAGUUAACAUUCUAAGAACAGAGAUUGAGAAGAAACUUAAUUUAGGAUGAAAAGAAUGGCAUCAGAUGGACCAAAAUUAAUUACACUGUGUAAUCCUCAAUGUAACUGAGAAAUAUUCAGUGUGACCCAUUUGUUAUAUUUAAACAUAUUAUUAUCAUAAGGUAUUACGUGAUUAGGGCCUCCUUUCCUGGACUAUGGUUAGAUUUUGUGUCUCAUUGCAUGCUUUCAGAAAGUGACCUAAAGAACAAUACAUAGUGAUUGUCAUAACAAUCUAUGAAAUAUAGGCUUCGGUUAAGAACCACAUUCUCAAACUUGAGGUGUAUCAAGUCCUUCAGGGAGUCCUCCAUGGUUCCUUCCUCUCCCUCAUUGAACACAUCCCAUCAGUCACAAAAUACCCUAACUACACAUCCCCAAACUGGGGGCUUCUCUUCAAUCCCUUCUCCAAGCCCUUGGUAUCAGUAGCCACCAUUUUUCACU
rnacentral:lncRNA from 1 species